ACGAAACGAGAAGUCGACUCGCCUCAGGGCGUCCGGCCCUCCGCGAGCACCCGAGGGGGUUCGGGCCUCGGACCCGGUCCGAUCCCGUCCCUUCUUCGGGGCUGUCCGCGAAUGGAGGUGUCCUCGGACGGAGUCGAAGUGAUUCUCCGGUCCGCGACGCUACGGCUUGGAUGGUCCACCCGACCCGUCUUGAAACACGGACCAAGGAGUCUAACAUGCGCGCGAGUCGUUGGGUCGGACACGCUCCGCUAAACCCAUAGGCGCAAUGAAAGUGAAGGCCGCCGCACGGGCGGCCGAGGGAGGACGGGGCCGCACCGCCGGUCCCCGCACCCCCGGGGCGUCUGAUCCCUCAUCGCGAGGGGAGGCGCACCCAGAGCGCACACGUUGGGACCCGAAAGAUGGUGAACUAUGCCUGGCCAGGACGAAGUCAGGGGAAACCCUGAUGGAGGUCCGUAGCGAUUCUGACGUGCAAAUCGAUCGUCGGAGCUGGGUAUAGGGGCGAAAGACUAAUCGAACCAUCUAGUAGCUGGUUCCCUCCGAAGUUUCCCUCAGGAUAGCUUGCGCUCGGAGGAGAGUCUCAUCCGGUAAAGCGAAUGAUUAGAGGCCUUGGGGCCGAAACGGCUUCAACCUAUUCUCAAACUUUAAAUGGGUGAGAACUCCGGCUUGCUCGAUUACUCGAAGCCGGAGACGGGGACACGUCCCCCGGGAUCGGAGUGCACAGUGGGCCACUUUUGGUAAGCAGAACUGGCGCUGUGGGAUGAACCAAACGACGGGUUAAGGCGCCCGAAUCGACGCUCAUGGGAAACCAUGAAAGGUGUUGGUUGCUUAAGACAGCAGGACGGUGGCCAUGGAAGUCGGAAUCCGCUAAGGAGUGUGUAAUAACUCACCUGCCGAAGCAACUAGCCCUGAAAAUGGAUGGCGCUGAAGCGUCGUGCCUAUACCCGGCCGUCGCCGCAAGACGGACCCGGCCCCGCGCCGGGUGCCGCCUGACGCGGCGACGAGUAGGAGGGUCGCGGCGGCGAGCGCAGAAGGGUCUGGGCUCGAGCCUGCCUGGAGCCGCCGCCGGUGCAGAUCUUGGUGGUAGUAGCAAAUACUCCAGCGAGGCCCUGGAGGACUGAUGUGGAGAAGGGUUUCGUGUGAACAGCCGUUGCACACGAGUCAGUCGAUCCUAAGCCCUAGGAGAAAUCCGACGCCAACGGCGACGGGAUGCAUUCAAAGUGAGAAAUCGACCCGUUGAUCGGGCGAAAGGGAAUCCGGUUCCUAUUCCGGAACCCGGCAGCGGAACCGCUGUUUGUCGGGCCCUCACAAGGGGUUCGUCAGGGUAACCUAAAAGGGCCCGGAGACGCCGUCGGGAGCCCCGGAAAGAGUUUUCUUUUCUGCAUGAGCGUUCGAGUUCCCUG
rnacentral:rRNA from 1 species